UGUCAUCCAUGGGUUUACUCUGAUUACGCCCUCACCUCGGCAGUGGGGAGGACUAGUGAAUUGUGUCCACUGCCCAUGAAGCAGAUCUCCUGGAGGGACCCAGGUUAGCUUGGCCUCUCCCAGCAAGUGGGAAGUCACCAGAACGGGGGCUGUGGAGCUGGAGGUGGCUUCAUCCACAGUGAGUGAGGAAGAGAAAAGCCACAGCAAGGAGGUCACUGCGGGAGGGGCUCCCAUCUCCAGGUCCCCAGGGAAGUCCUGAGCCCAUGCUGAGCCUGGAAGGAUUCAGGGAAGGCACAGAGCCUGCCUCAAGGAACCAGUGCAGGGAAGACAAGACACACACACAUACACCACACACACCACAUACCACGCACACAUAGACACAUACACCACACACACACACCACACACACCACAUACCACACACUCAUAGACACACACCACACAUAUAUGUCACACUGCACACACCACAUACCACAUGCACCUCACAUACAUAUAUGCCACACAUACCACAUACACAUAGACACAUAUGCACAACACACAUACCUCAUGCACAUUUACAUACAUAUAUGCACCACACCAUACACCACUGCACACAUAAACACACUACUACACACACAGCUAAUGACAGAAGGAGCUCCUUGUCUUAGGAGAGGGAUUUGGUGA
rnacentral:lncRNA from 10 species